rnacentral:rRNA from 1 species
GACGAACGCUGGCGGCGUGCUUAACACAUGCAAGUCGAGCGGUAAGGCUCUUUCGGGGGGUACACGAGCGGCGAACGGGUGAGUAACACGUGGGUGACCUGCCCUCAGCUCUGGGAUAAGCCUGGGAAACCGGGUCUAAUACCGGAUAUGACUCCAUGACGCAUGUUGUGGGGUGGAAAGCCUUGUGCGGCUGAGGAUGGGCCCGCGGCCUAUCAGCUUGUUGGUGGGGUGAGGCCUACCAAGGCGACGACGGGUAGCCGGCCUGAGAGGGCGACCGGCCACACUGGGACUGAGACACGGCCCAGACUCCUACGGGAGGCAGCAGUGGGGAAUCUUGCGCAAUGGGCGAAAGCCUGACGCAGCGACGCCGCGUGAGGGAUGACGGCCUCGG